rnacentral:rRNA from 1 species
UACGAAGGGGGCGAGCGUUGUUCGGAUUUACUGGGCGUAAAGGGCGCGCAGGCGGCUCAUUUUGUCAGGCGUGAAAGCCCCGGGCUUAACCUGGGAACUGCGUUUGAUACGGAUGGGCUAGAGUUCGGGAGAGGAGAGUGGAAUUCCCAGUGUAGAGGUGAAAUUCGUAGAUAUCAGGAAGAACACCCGUGGCUAAGGCGGCUCUCUAGUACGGUACUGACGCUGAGACGCGAAAGCGUGGGGAGCGAACAGG